GUAAACCUGUAUUGCCCCAGUUCCCAAUAUAUCUUUUCACAACUGUAGCAGUUAGUGCUAGGUUUGUUCUAGUUUGUUCUGUAAUUUUAAAGUUUGUUCUAAAAAAAUAAAAGUGUUAUUGAAAAAAGUAUGUGGUAUUGUAACUUUACAUAAACUUGUACGGCCCACUCGAAAACAAAAACUUUCCGAAAUAUUUAAACAGAUAGCCACUUAGUGCUAGGUUUGUUCUACCUCCAGGCGAAAGCGAGUAACUAGUUUCCCAUAAACAAAAAUAAAACAAAAGAUUUGCUUUUUGGCUUGUUCGACCCCACCGAGGUUUUAAGAUCAUCGUAAGUUUGCCAUUUAUUGUUAUUUCGUCGGCAGUGGGAAAUAUAAUGUCCAAUUGUUAUUUCGUUUUCAGGAGGAACAAACUCAACAAUGCCUUUAAUUUGGUAUGUUUUGUUUUUUUAAGGUAACUGUCGCUGGAAUGUCGGUUAACUCAUAGAGAAAUAAAAAGAAGAGAGUGAUUAAAAGAUAGGCAAUAACUGGAACAAUCUUUCUCCGCAGGUUUUGUUUUUAGAGGACUCCAUUUUGUACGCCAAAAUUAUAGCCAAAAUUUUGCAGCAUAGAUAAUUUGCCGGUUUGUACUGACCAUCAACAUUUAUUUUCAUUAUUGGAUAGUGCUGGAAUUGCUGAAAUUGAAAUAGGAUUGGGAGUAUAGACAGGCUAGACAAAGGCAACAACUUUCAAAAGGAUAAUUACGAAGUACAGCAACAAUGAAGAUAACAUUAAUGUCGUUAGGUAGGUAAAUAAUUAUUUUAUUUAUAAUAAAUAUUUUUACUUUAAUCCACAGAGACAUAAG
rnacentral:lncRNA from 1 species